rnacentral:rRNA from 1 species
UCGGGAAUCUUGGGCAAUGGGCGCAAGCCUGACCCAGCAACGCCGCGUGGAGGAUGAAGUCCCUCGGGAUGUAAACUCCGAAAGAAGGGGACGAAUAAGCAUGGGCUAAUACCCGUCGCGAUGACGGUACCCUUUGUAAGCCCGCGUAACUACGUGCCAGCAGCCGCGGUAAUACGUAGGGGCAGGCGUUGUUCGUAUUAUCUGGGCGUAAAGCGCGCGUAGGCGGCACUGCAAGUCACUUGUGAAAUCUCCGGGCUUAACUCGGUAGGGGCCAAGUGAUACUGCAGAGCUAGAGUGCGGAAGAGGCAGCUGGAAUUCUCGGUGUAGCGGUGAAAUGCGUAGAUAUCGAGAGGAACACCGGUGGCGAAGGCGGGCUUGCUGGGCCGACACUGACGCUGAGGCGCGAAAGCUAGGGGAGCAAACA